GGGCCCGCCGAGCCGGCCGCCGCGCCGCCGGUGGGGGAGAAACACCGCAACGGUCUCAUCGUCGACGCGCACGAAAGGAGCGUGAUGGAUGUUGAGGGGGAGGACGAGGAGGAGGAGGAGGACAGCCAGCCCAGCACGCCGUUCGAUCUGUUCGUCCAGACGUUUGCAAAACGGCUGGACAGCACAACACCGCAGAAGAAGCGACAAAAGAAAGCGAAAAAGGCCUGGACAAAGAUGUCGGAAGAGCAGCGUCGGAUAGUCGAGGACAGGUUUGACCGCCAGUUCCCGAACAAGGCCGGCUAGAGGCGCGCCGCCGCCGUCCGGGCCGGGCCCGGGAGUUGGCGCCGAGGGCUGCGGUCAUCGCCCCCGCCGCGGCC